rnacentral:misc_RNA from 1 species
CUUUUAAGAUCUGCAACAAUAGAACUUGUAUCCCUGGACGAGGCUUGCUGUUCUCCAAAAAGAGUUUGGUCGACCAAAGCAUAGAAAACCUGGCGUUGCAAUUCAGUUGCUGCAAACAUAUCUCUAGCACCUAGCAUGGACGUCACCAACUUCUCAGGUAUUAUUUCACCAGUUGAGUGGUGCUUGGCAAAUGUUCUCAAGACUCGGUAAUCCCAGGCAUAGUACUCAAACAGGUUUGAAGGCGUUUCAGCAAAGUCAAGAACCACCCUAGU